rnacentral:rRNA from 1 species
AMCCAGCACCUCAAGUGGUCAGGAUGAUUAUUGGGCCUAAAGCAUCCGUAGCUCGUUUUGUAAGUUUUCGGUUAAAUCCAUACGCUUAACGUAUGGGCUGCCGGGAAUACUGCAUAACUAGGAAGUGGGAGAGGUAGACGGUACUCGGUAGGAAGGGGUAAAAUCCUUUGAUCUAUUGAUGACCACCUGUGGCGAAGGCGGUCUACCAGAACACGUUCGACGGUGAGGGAUGAAAGCUGGGGGAGCAAACCGGAUUAGAUACCCGGGUAGUCCCAGCUGUAAACUAUGCAAACUCAGUGAUGCAUUGGCUUGUGGCCAAUGCAGUGCUGCAGGGAAGCCGUUAAGUUUGCCGCCUGGGAAGUACGUACKCAAGUWUGAAACUUAW